rnacentral:lncRNA from 1 species
CUCAAACUAAUUGUUUUUGUAUUACUUAAACAUGUGUCAUUUCUUUACAUUACUUAAGAAUUCUGAGUAAACUGUACUUUUUAAUGGCCUAUCUUAUUGUAAUUAUGUGAUUGAGCUCAAACAAUUCAAUAUCAUCAAGUUUUGCCUGUUACUAACAAGACUGGCUGCAGCCUGGCGCUUCCCGUCUCAUGCCGAGACGUGUCCAACGGUUCAAAGGGUCAAAAACAAAAUAUGAAAUCACAAAUUAUUUUCCAUGGAGUCACGGGUAAAUUUGUGAUUUCUGGAUUUUAUUGUUGUGUCCCUGAUGUUAACAUAAAAUUGAUGAAAACUUGAAGAGGUGCUGUACAAUAUUGUAAUGAUUGGAAGUAAAGAGGAAGAUAUAUUUUUCUUUUCAUCACAGCAAAUUACCCAGUGUUGAAAUCCUAGUGUUGGGGACUUUUAGAGUAAAGUGUUAAAGUUGUGGUGUUGAAUUUUAGCUAGUGUAAACAGCCUCCUCUGGCCGAUGUAAAUAAUCAGAGUUACCUUUGAGUGUUAAUAGUCACAUCCGGGACAUUUACUCGUGUGCACGCGCCUGACCCAUCUGAAAUACUUUUCACAGACGCCAUUUUCUUUGCUCACGACGCGGCUCGUAUGAGGACGGAAUAUGGCGAAAUAAAGUGUAUAACCUUACUCAUAAAAUGGGGUUUGUAAUAUCAUAUUGUUUUAUAAUGACAUUUAUUUGCUGUGUGCACAUAAACUUUUCUCAAGGACAUUUCCUUUCACUCACGAUGUGGAACAGACAAGGACGUCUUUUAUUUUCUAUAUGGGAAAUCUAAAAAAUUUGAACUGCUGUGCAGCAGACCAUAAUGGUGCAGACGCGGAAAAAAACAGAACGGAGCAGACGGAGAAGUUGGUUUUAACAAGGAAAACACGGAAAAAGCACUUUUGUGAUGCUGCAAGUGGGAGUGGAUUUCUUGCUUAG